rnacentral:rRNA from 1 species
CGCAUCUGUGCAUGCAGCAUAUCAAUAAGCGGAGGAAAAGAAACUAACAAGGAUUCCCCUAGUAACGGCGAGUGAAGCGGGAGGAGCUCAAAUUUGAAAUCUUAAAGGGUUUCCCUUUACGAAUUGUAGUUUAAAGAAGUGUUUUCUGUUGAGGUUUUGGUAAAAGUUCUUUGGAAUAGGACAUCAUAGAGGGUGAGAAUCCCGUAUUUGACCUUUACUUUCAACUUUGUGAUACACCUUUCAAAGAGUCGGAUUGUUUGGGAAUGCAGUCCAAAAUGGGUGGUAAAUUUCAUCUAAAGCUAAAUAUUGGCGAGAGACCGAUAGCGAACAAGUACCGUGAGGGAAAGAUGAAAAGAACUUUGAAAAGAGAGUUAAACAGUACGUGAAAUUGUCAAAAGGGAAGCGUUUGACACCAGUGUUGUUUUUCUGAAAAUCAAUUAAAGAACUGUUUAUGCUAAGUUGUUUAGACUUUAUCAGCUAACUGUUUAGUUUUGAGCUUUUCUUUAAUGCACUUUUCAGUUAACAAGUCAACAUCAAUUUCUUUUGCUGUAAAAAAGCUUGAGGAAGGUGGCUUGAGAUUCGUCUUAAGUGUUUAUAGCCUCUUGCCUAUGCAGUCGGAGAGAUUGAGGUCUGCAGCGUAGAUCCUUCGGGGCUAAAUGCAUUUGUGCUAAGUUAUAGCAUUUUAUAGACAACUUGUUGACUAUGAUUUGUCUUGUAGCUUACUCGCUUAUGUUAUUUUACCUACGCUUAGGAUGUUGAACGCGCACAGAGUCUC